ACACGAAACCUAGGUGUCACAUUCCAUUCCCUUCCCUUCCCUCCAAACUAGCACCUCCAAAUCCAGCAAUGUGGAUAACGAUGAUCAAAAUAAUAUAUGUGAGACGAGCAGUAAAGAUAAUCAAAUGUAAGACAUAAAAGAAAUUCCUCUCCCUCUCUCUCUAAUGCAAACCCUAAAAACAACUCCACCACCACCAAAAUGGCAGCCACAGCCAUUGGAUCUUCUAGAAGUACCUAAAGCGGACCAUCUCUCCGGUCAGUCUCUCCAUCUAGCAGAUUUCAUCAACACCUCUCUAGAUCUUCGACGUCUUACACUCCCCCACCGCCUUUGCUUCCUCAAGUUCUAGUUUCAUCUCUCGCUCAUCAACUUUCUUCACACCAAGUUUGACGGGAAAAUUGAACAGGAAAAGAAGAAUGAUGUGAUUCAAAAGAAGCAAAUUCGAAAGAGAAGCCCCGUGACAAGAAUUCUCAAAUGCUAAAUUAUCGGAAUCAUUCAGCCUACAGUGGAUGUAGUGGAAUGGCUAAAGAGAAGUUUAGUUGGUGUGAUUUUAGAAAAUAACAAGAGAUUCACCACUGGGUUCCAUCAGAUGCUCCUGCGUAUCGAUUUUGUUGGGUGGUUUGGCAGUUCGCCUUCAUUAUCUAAUUAUUCUUCAAACAACAA